AGAGUUUGAUCCUGGCUCAGAACGAACGCUGGCGGCAGGCUUAACACAUGCAAGUCGAGCGGAAAGGUCCCUUCGGGGAUACUCAAGCGGCGGACGGGUGAGUAACAGGUGGAUAAUCUGCCUCUCGGCAGGGGAUAACGGCUGGAAACGGCCGCUAAUACCGUAUACGGUUGUCCGAUCUUCGGAUUGGGCAAAGAAAGGGGCGUUUGCCCCGCCGGGAGAUGAGUCCGCCCCCCAUUAGCUAGUUGGUGGAUUAAAGGCCCACCAAGGCGACGAUGGGUAGCCGAGCUGAGAGGUUGGCCGGUCACACUGGGACUGAGACACGGCCCAGACACCUACGGGUGGCAGCAGUGUGGAAUAUUGGACAAUGGGCGCAAGCCUGAUCCAGCCAUGCCGCGUGGACGACGAAGGCCUUCGGGUCGUAAAGUCCUUUUCUGAGGGAAGAAGAAGCCGUGGAGGAAAUGCCGCGGUAGUGACUGUACCUCAGGAAUAAGCCACGGCAAACUCCGUGCCAGCAGCCGCGGUAAUACGGAGGUGGCUAGCGUUGUUCGGAAUGACUGGGCGUAAAGGGGGCGCAGGCGGCCUGGUAAGUCUGGAGUGUAAGCCCGGGGCUCAACCCCGGGAUUGCUUUGGAUACUACUAGGCUUGAGUACGGAAGAGGAAGGCGGAAUUCCAGGUGUAGCGGUGAAAUGCGUAGAUAUCUGGAGGAACACCCGUGGCGAAAGCGGCCUUCUGGUCCGAUACUGACGCUGAGGCCCGAAAGCGUGGGGAGCAAACAGGAUUAGAUACCCUGGUAGUCCACGCCGUAAACGUUGUGCGCUAGGUGUAGGAGGUAUUCGACCCCUUCUGUGCCGCAGC
rnacentral:rRNA from 1 species